GAUGAACGCUGGCGGCGUGCCUAAUACAUGCAAGUCGAGCGAACAGACGAGGAGCUUGCUCCUCUGACGUUAGCGGCGGACGGGUGAGUAACACGUGGAUAACCUACCUAUAAGACUGGGAUAACUUCGGGAAACCGGAGCUAAUACCGGAUAAUAUAUUGAACCGCAUGGUUCAAUAGUGAAAGACGGUUUUGCUGUCACUUAUAGAUGGAUCCGCGCCGCAUUAGCUAGUUGGUAAGGUAACGGCUUACCAAGGCAACGAUGCGUAGCCGACCUGAGAGGGUGAUAGGCCACACUGGAACUGAGACACGGUCCAGACUCCUACGGGAGGCAGCAGUAGGGAAUCUUCCGCAAUGGGCGAAAGCUUGACGGAGCAACGCCGCGUGAGUGAUGAAGGUCUUCGGAUCGUAAAACUCUGUUAUGAGUGAAGAACAAAUGUGUAAGUAACUAUGCACGUCUUGACGGUACCUAAUCAGAAAGCCACGGCUAACUACGUG
rnacentral:rRNA from 1 species